rnacentral:lncRNA from 1 species
ACAAAUACAAUAAAUCCACUGUUCACACGGACAGAGUCUCCCCUAUAUUUGCACGGCGUCGCACAAGUACAAUAAGUAAACCGAAUACAACCACAACUAAAUAAAUAUAGAUAUAACUAUACAUUCAUACAUUCACCAUUCAUAUCGCAGAUUUACAUUCAAUGUCUAAACAUAAAUUCACAGAAAGCCUUUUGAAAACUGUUCCCUACACGGAACUUUUAUCUUUAAACACGCUACCACCAGGGGUAGAAAACUUUUUAUUUACGAAAACCAUGAAUUCUUUUUAUUACAUUCACAAAGCCAAAUCCAAAUAUAAUAAUUAACUGAAAUACCAAAAACUGAACCAUGAUAUAUCUAAGUUAUACCAACAUAAAUAAAGAGGAUUUCGACUAAAC